rnacentral:rRNA from 1 species
UACGUAGGUGGCGAGCGUUGUCCGGAUUUAUUGGGCGUAAAGGGCGCGCAGGUGGUGCGGUAAGGCUGCCGUGAAAUCUCCCGGCUCAACUGGGAGGGUGCGGUGGCGACUGCCGGACUGGAGGCACUCAGAGGCCGGUGGAAUUCCCGGUGUAGUGGUGAAAUGCGUAGAGAUCGGGAGGAACACCAGUGGCGAAGGCGGCCGGCUGGGGGUGACCUGACGCUGAGACGCGAAAGCGUGGGGAGCGAACAGG